rnacentral:tRNA from 1 species
ACUAUUUUGGCAGAAAAAAUGUAAUGAUUUUAGAAGUCAUUUAUAUAUAAUUUAUUAUAUAGAUAGUA